rnacentral:rRNA from 1 species
AAUAGAUACCCAGGUAGUCCUAGCCGUAAACUCUGAGUACUGAAUUAAAGGGUCCUUCAUAGCCCUUCAGUUGAAGCGAAAGUGUUAAGUACUCCGCCUGGGGAGUAUGGCCGCAAGGCUGAAACUCAAAGAAAUUGACGGGGGCUCACACAAGCGGUGGAUGAUGUGGCUUAAUUCGAGGCUACGCGAAGAACCUUAUCCUAGUCUUGACAUGCACGGAUUAACUCCUGGAAACAGGAGCCAGGCCUUCGGGUACAACGUGCACAGGUGCUGCAUGGCUGUCGUCAGCUCGUGUCGUGAGAUGUCGGGUUAAGUCCCUUAACGAGCGAAACCCUUGUCUCUAGUUGCCAGCGGAUCAUGCCGGGAACUCUAGAGAGACUGCCGGUGUUAAACCGGAGGAAGGUGGGGAUGACGUCAAGUCCUCAUGGCCUUUAUGAUUAGGGCUGCACACGUCAUACAAUGGCGCGAACAAAGGGAAGCAAACUCGCGAGAGCAAGCAAAUCCCAAAAAACGCGCCCCAGUUCGGAUUGC